rnacentral:misc_RNA from 1 species
UUUAUGAUAUCACAAACUACUAUAAUAACUCCAAUCAAACCCCCAAGAUUACCAUUGAACAACAUAUAACCACCCAAAAUUCAACAAUUCAAAAGCACCAAAUUCCAUUUCCCUCGUUCAAUCAAGGAGGAGGAGGUUUAGUUGCACAAGUAACAGCAUUCCAAAUCUGGGCAAUACCCCCAAGAACAUGAGGCCAGACACUUUCAAUCCCUCUAAAAGCAGCCCCAGAAGCAACCCCAAUAGCGAACGUCUCAAGAUACCCAGGCUUCGAAUCCAACUUCAUAUCAAGAACAGCAACUCUGUUGUUGACCAAAUCCACCUUUCUUGAUGCAUCAGCCAUGAGCUUGUCCUUCCUGUUCUUAUUUUUAGAGGAGAUAACCCUAAAGAGCACAUUCUGGAGAUCUUCAAUGACCUUGACAGACGCUUCUUGAGAGUCUAGGCCUUGAGAUUGGUAGUGGGAAAUGAGUUCUUGAGGAGUUGGUGGCUUCUUCUUGGAAUCCUUGGGUGGGGCUUGAGGGCUUGCAUUUGGGAUUGGCGGUUGUUCCAUUUGAUGUUUAUUAGAAAGGAUGUAAGCAAAGAGCAGAUGCCAGAAGGCUGAAGAUAGGGUUGGUUUUCUAGGGUUUCAAAUUUUACUCCAAAAAAAUAAUAAUAAAAA